CGGUGUUCAACUGGCGUGUCCGCGGGACGUCCUGCCGGUGGGCUUAGCCCGCAAGGGCGGCCCAACUUCAAAUCCCAUCGCGGUGCUCUUCACUGAGUGUCGAGGUGGGCCGGCACGUUUACUUUGAACAAAUUAGAGUGCCUUAAAGCAGGCUAAAACUUCGCCUGAAUACUGUGUGCAUGGAAUAAUGGAAUAGGACCUCGGUUCUAUUUUGUUGGUUUUCGGAACCCCGAGGUAAUGAUUAAUAGGAACGGAUGGGGGCAUUCGUAUUGCGACGUUAGAGGUGAAAUUCUUGGAUCGUCGCAAGACGGACAGAAGCGAAAGCAUUUGCCAAAAACGCUUUCAUUGAUCAAGAACGAAAGUUAGAGGUUCGAAGGCGAUCAGAUACCGCCCUAGUUCUAACCAUAAACGAUGCCAGCUAGCGAUCCGUCGACGUUCCUCCGAUGACUCGACGGGCAGCUUCCGGGAAACCAAAGCUUUUGGGUUCCGGGGGAAGUAUGGUUGCAAAGCUGAAACUUAAAGGAAUUGACGGAAGGGCACCACCAGGAGUGGAGCCUGCGGCUUAAUUUGACUCAACACGGGAAACCUCACCAGGCCCGGACACCGGAAGGAUUGACAGGUUGAGAGCUCUUUCUUGAUUCGGUGGGUGGUGGUGCAUGGCCGUUCUUAGUUGGUGGAGCGAUUUGUCUGGUUAAUUCCGAUAACGAACGAGACUCUAGCCUGCUAACUAGGCGUAUUUUCGACAUCUCAAAGGUCCGUCGUCCCGGCCCUCGGGUCGUGGGCGUGCGCGAUUUUUACUGUCGGCGUACUAUCAAUUCUUCUUAGAGGGACAGGUGGCUUCUAGCCGCACGAGAUUGAGCAAUAACAGGUCUGUGAUG
rnacentral:rRNA from 1 species